UACGGAGGGGCUAGCGUUGUUCGGAAUUACUGGGCGUAAAGCGCACGUAGGCGGCGAUCUAAGUCAGAGGUGAAAGCCCGGGGCUCAACCCCGGAGUGCGUAGGAUACUGCGAAGCUGGAGUCCUGAAGAGGAGAGCGGAAUUCCCGGUGUAGAGGUGAAAUUCGUAGAUAUCGGGAGGAACACCCUGUGGCGAAGGCGGCUCUCUGGGGCAGGUACUGACGCUGAGACGCG
rnacentral:rRNA from 1 species